rnacentral:tRNA from 1 species
GGGCCCGUAGCUCAGAUGGGAGAGUGCCGCCCUCGCAUGGCGGAGGUCACGAGUUCGAGUCUCGUCGGGUCCA